CUUCAUAUUUUCUGUUGCCUCCCUUCGCUCCGCCUGCGUCGUCUCGGCCCUGCUGUCACCAGAGCUCGGCCCGAAGCGACCGGCCCGGCCCGGGUUCCCCCGCCCGCUGUGACAGCGCAGGGCCGGGCGCCCUUGGCGGCUUUCUGCUUUGGUUCUGCGCUCUGAGGGGAGGGAAUUUUGUGUUUCUGGUGCGGGGCGUUUUAUUUUUUGACGCGGCAGGCGGAGGUGCGGGAAUGGGCAGGAGUCUUAGACGGGAGUGCGGUAGUUGUUAGUCUCCCUUUUCCGCCACCGCCAUGCCGGCUUUUCUUUCUGAUUUCUGUUUUUCCUUCUGUUUUCCCCUCGCUUCCCGCGCCGCCCCUCAGGCUCCCUCAGGCUCGGCGGUGGCGCGGGGCACCACGGGAAGGGCUUUUCCCGUCGCCGCCAGCCGAGCGUGAGGGACCCUGGGCGGCGACGGGAGAGGAGGAGGCUGUGCUGGGCGAGCAGCGGGGCACGGAAAGUGAACCUUACUUUUCACACCAUGGAGUACCUGUGACUGCUCCUGACCUCUCUUUAGCAGCCCAGAUUCUUCUAGGAUGUGACCACGGAGUGCCUGUCACUGCCAGGGACCUCCUGGCUCCAUAGAAACCCCAGAGAGCCCUGUGAUGUCACCGUGGAAGCCUUGUGAGUGCAGCCUUCCACACCCUUGGAAUGUCACUGUAAAGUACCUGUGAGUGCCUGUGAUAUCACAGCUGCUUAGCAGCCUGGAGACACUUGUGGUAUUGCCAUUGAGACCCUGUGACAGCCUGUGAAGUCAGUGUGGUUUGGCAAAUGAGAGACUCCUGGAAUGUCACCACGGAGCCCUUGGGAUUGCACAUGACCUCAGUGUUCUUUAGGAUCAUAGAGGCGACUGGGAUGUAACCAUGGAACCUCAGUGAGUGCCUGUGCCAAAUGGGCUCCAUGGCAUGUAGAGACACCUCUGUUGUCCUCUGGUGACGGCUUGGGACCUCACAAGUCUUUGGAAGAUGAAAGCAGUCUGACACAUCACCAUGGAGUCACUGUGGCCUCAUGUGCUCUUCAGAAACCCAUAGAGACUUGAGAUGUCACCAUGGACACCCUGUGCCUGUUUGUGAUCUCUCUCGUUUUGAACAGGCUGGAGACAGCUCUGAUGUCACCAUGGACUGCAGUGGGUACUGGUGGUUCAGGGAGGUGAGGGCAGGGGAAGGAACGUGUGGCAGGUCUUGCCAGGAGCCGUUCUGGCACUCAGCAGGGACAGCACCAGAACCCAGGCCUGGGA